rnacentral:lncRNA from 1 species
ACUAGGUAAGUGUCCACAGUGGAAAAAAUGUUUAGUCUGAACACCAAUUAAAAAAUGAAAAGUGAUAAUAAUUUCCCUCAAGUAUUUUUUGAUAGCUUCUCAAAAGAUGGUCCAUGGUUUCUGCUUUACUACUCCAUCACGACUUUGGUUUUACCAAUCACUGAUUUUGAAAUGGAGGGUGCAUGCAUGCACACAUGUGCACACAUAUGUGUAGAAAAAAUUUCAUAAAGUGAGAAAAUAAUCUCUUUGUGCCUCAGGACUAGCUAAUUUCAGCUUUAGUAUGAAUGGGCUUUUGGGCAAAUCCAUUUGUUAAGACACUGAGGAAAAUAUGACCUUUGUUAUUAUUUAGAACUGAAGCUAUACCAUACAAACAACAAAUUCACUCCCUGGGGGAAAAACAGAAAAGGGAAAGAAAAAAGACCCACAGCUAAAUUUACAGGUUUUGUGUUUUGCUGUUUUAUGAUUUUCUUAGUUGAAAUUACAGUUUCCUUUUUCCACUUUUCUACACAGCCCAGAAGAUGGACAUUUGGCAAGCCAUAAUAGACUGCUCCUUUCCCAGAUGAGGAGAACAAGACACAGACUGAGUACCUUGUUCACUGUCCACAGCUGGUCACGGAAGGACUUAAGGAAGCUGUUGUGAAGCAAUUGGCCUUGCUAUAGAAGCUUAAACCACAAAGAACUGUGAGCUAAGUCCUAGGAGCUAAGGGUAGCUUCCAGAAAAAAGCUAAAGCCUUAGUCCUAACCCAGCAAGGAAAUGAAGUCUGCCAACAACCUGAGGGACUUCAGGAGUGGGUCUUUCCCCAGUCAAGGCUCUGAUGAGACUGCAGUACUGGCUGACACAUAGAUUCCAGCCUGGUGAGACCCUGAAGCCUAACACUUAGUUAAGCUAUGCCUGGACUCUUGACCCACAGAAACUUUGAGAUAAUAAAUGUGUAUUGUUUUAAGCUGUUAAGUAUGUGGCAAUUUAUUAUUAUGCAGUAUAGAAGAGCAAUAUAGUUAUGAAAGUCAAUGGAAGACUGAUAAACUGUUCUAGAUUAAAAUAAAA